rnacentral:rRNA from 1 species
UACGUAGGGUGCAAGCGUUAAUCGGAAUUACUGGGCGUAAAGCGUGCGCAGGCGGUUUUGUAAGUCUGACGUGAAAUCCCCGGGCUCAACCUGGGAAUGGCAUUUGGGACUGCAAGGCUGGAGUACGGCAGAGGAGACUGGAAUUCCUGGUGUAGCAGUGAAAUGCGUAGAUAUCAGGAGGAAUACCGAUGGCGAAGGCAGGUCUCUGGCUGGAUACUGACGCUCAUGCACGAAAGCGUGGGGAGCG